GACAGAGGGUGCAAACGUUGCUCGGAAUUACUGGGCGUAAAGGGCGUGUAGGCGGGAAGGCAAGUCGGGCGUGAAAGCCCCAGGCUCAACCUGGGAACUGCACUCGAAACUGCCUUUCUUGAGUGCCGGAGAGGAAAACGGAAUUCCUGGUGUAGAGGUGAAAUUCGUAGAUAUCAGGAGGAACACCAGUGGCGAAGGCGGCGCACUGGACCACAUCUGACGCUGAGGCGCGAAAGCUAGGGGAGCAAACAGG
rnacentral:rRNA from 1 species